rnacentral:rRNA from 1 species
CCUACGGGAGGCAGCAGUGGGGAAUUUUGGACAAUGGACGCAAGUCUGAUCCAGCCAUUCCGCGUGCAGGACGAAGGCCUUCGGGUUGUAAACUGCUUUUGUACGGAACGAAAAAGCUCUUAUUAAUACUAGGAGUCCAUGACGGUACCGUAAGAAUAAGCACCGGCUAACUACGUGCCAGCAGCCGCGGUAAUACGUAGGGUGCAAGCGUUAAUCGGAAUUACUGGGCGUAAAGCGUGCGCAGGCGGUUAUUUAAGACAGAUGUGAAAUCCCCGAGCUUAACUUGGGAACUGCAUUUGUGACUGUAUAGCUAGAGUACGGCAGAGGGGGAUGGAAUUCCGCGUGUAGCAGUGAAAUGCGUAGAUAUGCGGAGGAACACCGAUGGCGAAGGCAAUCCCCUGGGCCUGUACUGACGCUCAUGCACGAAAGCGUGGGGAGCAAACAGGAUUAGAUACCCUGGUAGUCCACGCCCUAAACGAUGUCAACUGGUUGUUGGGUCUUCACUGACUCAGUAACGAAGCUAACGCGUGAAGUUGACCGCCUGGGGAGUACGGCCGCAAGGUUGAAACUCAAAGGAUUGACGG